rnacentral:rRNA from 1 species
AUUGAACGCUGGCGGCAGGCCUAACACAUGCAAGUCGAACGAGUGGCGGACGGGUGAGUAAUGUCUGGGAAACUGCCUGAUGGAGGGGGAUAACUCCUGGAAACGGUAGCUAAUACCGCAUACCAUCAGAUGUGCCCAGAUGGGAUUCGCUAGUUGGGGGGGUAACGGCUCACCAGGGCGACGAUCCCUAGCUGGUGUGAGAGGAUGACCAGCAACACUGGAACUGGGAAACGGGCCAGACUACGACGGGAGGCAGGAGGGGGGAAGAUUGGACAAGGGGCGAAAGCCUGAUGCAGCCAUGCCGCGUGUAUGAAGAAGGCCUUCGGGUUGUAAAGUACUUUCAGCGGUGAGGCGUUACCCGCAGAAGAAGCACCGGCUAACUCCGUGCCAGCAGCCGCGGUAAUUC